GAUCGUGAACCCUUCAGAGUUCAGAUGUUGCUUCUUGAGAACAGUGCAAAAGUUCAUAGGAGGUGAGGAUUAGAAGUUCGACCAAGAGAAAUUAGAAUCUGAUGAUAGAGGAUGUUUAGUCCUACAAAGUGAAUCAGAAACUUAUGUUCUACAAAGUUGGCCUCUUAUUUCAAUGUUUAGUCCUCUCCUUUGUGUAAUACAGUGGCCAUAAAUCCAUAAUGUCUGAGAAUUUUUUUAGAAGUUGUGUUAUGUAUGAGCUAAUAUUUUGUGCCUGUUGUUUUCUUUCAGCAUGAUUGCUUGAUCUUAUGGAGCAAAUCAAGAAGGCUGAUGAAAUGGUGUUCCAACAAUUAACAGGUUUGUUUUCCAUUAGUUGUCGGGUUUAGGAGAUUAUUGUUGAAUCUAGGAAGCAUUGAACUUCAGUCAUUAGUUAGAAAAACAAAAGACUGGUUUUUGAUGGAGUACAUUAGAAACCAAGUCGUGUUUUGCUUAUACUUCAAAUGUGUCAGUAAACAUUGAAUGCAUUUGUUACAAGAGUUGAGAACUUCCAUUUCUUUUUUAUGACACCAAUGCAUACAACAAGAACUAAGAAGCAUACUAUACACUAUACAGCAACAGAACUCGCAGAUAAGGUUAACUUAGCCACGGCCCACGAGUGAAAACCCAAGUCCCAAGCAUUCCUAGCCAAACGCAUUUUGUCUUUGAUCAAUAACUGUUUUGAAGACUCGAAGUCUUGUCUUUUGCCUUUUUUUGAUUUUUUGGUCAAGCUUGUCUUUUGCCUCACCAAAGUGAAUUUAUGCCAAUCUACAAUCCCUUUGUACAACCAUCGAUCAAUACCAUUGUCUCCAAUCUCCAUCCAUACCAACAAAGAAAAUUAACAAUAUGGUUGUCUCCUAGGCCUGUGUACAUGAGUAACAUGACCCAAAUGGACAGCUACCAUAACCAUGCCCUCUUGCCAAAUCAGUGUGGUUCAACCCUGGUCCAGAUCAUAGAUGCACCACUUCCUCUGGUUUGGUCAAUCCUUCGCCAAUUUGAUAACCCUCAGGCCUACAAGCUCUUCAUAAAGAGCUGCACAAUGCGCACUGGGGAUGGAGGCGUAGGAAGCAUUCGUGAAGUAAUGGUUAGCUCUGGUUUACCUGGUAAAACCAGCACGGAGAGGCUUGACAGGCUCGAUGAUGAGAAGCAUGUCAUGAAUAUUAGCAUUCUUGGUGGUGAACACAGGCUUGUCAACUACAGGUCUACUACCACGGUGCAUGAAGAGGAAGAAGAGAAAGGUAUGAAGACUGUUGUGAUUGAAUCCUACGUGGUGGAUAUUCCUGGUGGGAGUAGUCAAGAGGAUACUUGCUUGUUUGCUAAUACUAUCAUAGGUUACAACCAUAGGUCACUGGCUAAAGUUGCAGAAAGGAUGGCUGGUAAUUGAUUAAAUGAUUAGCUUUUUAAUUAAGAGUUUUAUUAGAGAGUUCAGGUUUCUAGCUCCGUUUAAUUUGUAUGUUGUCGGUGUUCCUGCUAAGCUGUUUUUCUUGACUUCUUGUUGUAGCGGUCAUUAUGUGAUAAGUAUCAUAUCUGCUGUAUAUGAUCAGAUUUGCAUAACUUUCUUUUAUCCAAUAUUUAGUUUAAUGGAAAAGAAAGGAAAGAGAGCAAAGCAGUAAAGUUGUUCCCUGAGCUCAGCGGUCAUUAUGUGAUAAGUAUCAUAUCUGCUGUAUAUGAUCAGAGUUGCAUAACUUUCUUUUAUCCAAUAUUUAGUCUAAUGGAAAAGAAAGGAAAGAGAGCAAAGCAGUAAGUUGUUCCCUGAGCUCUUCUGUAUUUGAUGUUCUUGUUGAUGGCAUAGCCCAAAAACACAGCUCUCAAAUCAGUGGGAAAGGAAGCAUAAUAUUCUGUGGAGGUUUGUCAAGCCUUGUGUGCCAGUGUUGUGUCUUUCUUGUUUUAGUUCCAGGCUGCUGGUUUAGUUAGUGAGAUCUUGCAGUUUUUCUUGAUGACCUAUUGUUUUCUUUUAAUGAUCUUGUAAUCCUUUUGUACUCUGUCCUAUCUAGUGAUAAUAAAAUCUAUACUAUCUUGAGUUUUCAUGCAAACAGAACAAAAAAAGAAGCAUACAAUUAACAUGCAAGUAAUAAUGUCCAAGAACCAACAAAGAAUGCAAUUGUAGUUGAGAGUUUUCCAUCCUAUUCAACUGAGACUCUGAGAGGCCUUAAAUUUGACCAUCCCUUCCAAAUAUCUGUUGAUAAAUAAUGAAAUAUGCAAAUGGCCUUUGACCAAGAUGAAGUGAUAAUAGUCAAUUUUUUUUUUGGUUAUAAAGAUAGUAGUCGAGUGAGCUACCACUUCAGGGUUAGGGAGCAAUUUGUAGGUAUGACUCCUCCCCAAGGGAUGUUUUUCACAAGUUGGGGUUCAAACCAAGGACCUCCCAUUACCAGGAGAAUCCUUGCAGCGUCCGCCCCACUUGCAGCCUAGCAUGCUUCCACUAUACCAACCCCAUUGGGUAGAUAAUAGUCAAUUUUGUCUAAUCCUUUUGGAAUUUUUCUGGGACAGAAUGACGGCAAGAAAAAAAAGAAGCAUAGGGUAACUGCAUGAUAGCAGUUAGAAACACAAAGCUUUCCAGCUCCAGACCAAAACUUUGUUCUAUGGCAGAGAGAGAAAUGAUAAACUUUACAUUAUAGUGAUAAACUUGGGUCUGUUUGCAUAGUAUCCAGCAGCAUAGACAGAGACAACAGAGGCAAAGGCGGGAGCAGAGGUGUAAUUAUCUACCAAUUACAUUUCUCCUCAGCUUACAUAUUCAGUUUGUUCAAAAGCAAUAUGAUAUGUAUUAUAAGUCUGUGCACUGAAAUUGAGAAGUACAGUUCAAGGAGAAAGAAAACUAACAGAUAUCAGAAUGUAAUUGAAGAACUUCAUCAUCCCCAGUAAUUUUAUCUCUAUAUAAAGUUGCUAGCUGAUCCACUUAUUUGAUACACUAUCAUACUAACAAAGAUGAAUCAGAAACUCUUGUUAUACUUUGUUCUUGUUUGAGUUAGUAAGAAGGUACACUGUGGCAUACAACAUUGAUUUUUUGUUUUUGUUUUUGUUUUCAACUCCAUAUCAUAGAAACUAAACUUGCAUUUCUUUAUUGUUUAGUCAUCUUCUUUGUCUAAUUCCGGUGGCCACAUAUAGUAUGAAUAUCUCACAUACUGUUGGAAACUACUGCAUAAUAUGAGCUAAUUAAUGUUGUGCCUGCUGGUUUUAUUUCAGUAUGAUGGGGCUAUCUUGGAGCAAAUCAAGAGGCUGAUGAAAUGGUGUUACAACAACAGGUCUGUUUUCCAUGAAUUGUUAAGUAUAGGAGAUUUGGUUAAAUCAUUCACAUAAUUGAAAGAUGAACAAACUUGUAUAUAUUACAAAUGAAAGAUUGUCAAUAGCUUAGAAUCCGAAACGGACUACAUGAAGUCUAUUAGCAUACACUACUGGAAUAUCACACAUUUAUUGGCAAGAAGUCAACAAAUAGCAGCAUAAGACUCAAAAACAACAUGAACAAUCACAAAGUGGCCGGAUUAAGCAGCAGCAGGCUAGGUAAGAUAAGAAUGCUCAAUAAAACCCUUUAAGCCUAGAAAAUUGAGGUGGUUGAUUAUAAUUUUUUACCAGCCAUCUUCUCUGUGACUUUAGCCAACGACCUCAGGUUACAUCCCACAAUAGUAUCAGCAAACAAACAAGUAUCCUCCUUGCUACUCCCGUCCGGAACAUCCACCACAUACGACUGAGUCACCACCGUCUUUCUCGAGCCACCCUUUUCUUCUUCCUCGUCCUCUUUAUGCAGUGUAGUGAUGGAGCUAUAGUUUGCAAGCUUGUGAUCACCACCAACAAUGCUGAAGUUCAUGACAUGCUUGUCGUCGUCAAGCUUGUCAAGCCUCUCCAUACUGCUACUCCCCGGCAAGCCGGAGCUGACCAUCACCUCACGUAUGCUUCCGGCGGUGCCGCCGUCGCCGGCACGUAUGGUGCAGCUCUUUAUGAACUGCUUGUGGGCUUGAGGGUUGUCGAAUUGGCGGAUAAUGGACCAAACUAGAGGGAGUGGUGCGUCUAUGAUUUGGCUAUGGCUUGAGCCACACUGGUUUGGCAAGAGGGUUUUGUUGUGGUGACCAUCUUUCUUAUCCAUCAGAAUAAUGAAGAUGAAGAUAGCUGAAUUUGAAGAAGGGAUUCUACUUCUAGACUUCUAGUUCUAGUUGAUCUGGCUUAACUAAGCAAAACAAAAAUUUGAGGCUUGGAUAGAUAUUUAUAUGAAAAAUCAGAGAUAGACGGUUUCUUGUUAUAUGGCUCUAAAUAUCUUGGGACUUGAUGAUUUUGAUUCGAUCUGGUGCCUGGGCGGCAAGGCUAGGGGUUUUGACAGCUCUUUCCCUGACUUUCAUGGACCAGCCUCACAUGAAGCUGUAAGGAUCAAUCAUUGUUUGUACAAGUAUGCAUGACUAGAUAUAUGAAUUUUUAUUUUUAUUUAAAAUUAUUAUAACACUUACAUUUAAGUUAUAAAAUUACAGACGAAUGAGUGUAGACAAUUCUUCCAUUUAAACAUAUAUAUAUUGUGAAUGUAACAGAUCUCUAAAUUAACAUAAAUGAUCCAACAUAAUUUAGAAAAUCAACAAUCUCGUUCUUCAGAACUGAUAGUGUUUUCUUGAGCAUAUAGUAUGAGUUUCGAUCUUCAUAUUUAGAGUCAUUGAACACAUUUAGCAAGCAACAAAGCAUGGUAGCAAGAACCAACUAGUGGCACUGAAAUCCAACCUAACUUUUCUCUGCAAAUAUUGUCGAAAAAAAAUAACUUUUCUUUGCAAAUUGGUUAGGAGGCUAGGACUAGUAGACAGUAGGAUUCAUCAAUCCUUAUCCACACCCACAACUUCCACUCACCCCUUUUUUUAAUUUUUUGGUCGGUUAACCUCUAUAAGGUAUAAAUACAGAAAUGAAUUUUCAACCAAAUAGUAUUGAAUUAGCUACACAAGUCCAAAAAUGGUGAUGUAUAGUGUUGAAUAUGUCUACUAGUGUUGAAUAUGUCUACAUAUAGAGAUGGAGAUGGUGGACACUCUUUUGUGCAGGCUCCAUAUCCAUUGAUAUAAACUAAAAUGCACAUGGACCACAUAUGUGAGGAGACUUUACUUGCAUUGUUUGUUCAUGGCUGUCCACAGUCCACACAUUGUAUGCUACAAAAAUAAAACACCAGGGGACACUUUUGCUAUAUCCUCUUGGAAGAUGCAAAAUGUGCUCUAAAUAUCUUCCAUCACAAGAACUUGGGCUUUGCGGGUUAUGGGCCGGUCUCUACUGGGGUGGGUCGUUAACGGGCUUUCUGCCGCGAGAAACCACUGUAAGUGGCAUCGUGGUCGAGUGUUAGGUGAGGAAACUCUCAACUCGAGUUCAAUUCACCAGGAUGUCAAAGUGAUCAGGCACUAUGCUGGAAUGCAUAGUUAGAAAAAACUUCAGCCACAUGCCUGGCAGAUGAGUGUGUUUCAAAGGUUAUGGACAAGUAUUAACUAGCUAGGUAAAGCGGUUUAUGACCCGUUACGACUCAAACAGGCCUACUACCAUUCUUGCAGGCCCAUGGGCUAUAACGAACUUUGUCUGUGGCCCACAUAUUGAGACAAGUCCAUAUUGGUAGGCCCAAUUCCUUUUCCCUCUCGAGUCUCGAGUUGCUUGAUUGAGAGGAGGGUUGAAUGGUAGGUCACCUGCUUCUUCCAGUCUUUGACAGCCAAGUCAAAGGCGAUGAACUGCAGACGGGUACCAACGCUCACCACUGGAACCACCAACAAAUAUUGGUACUUAACAAACAAAUAAUAUCAGGCACAUUUACAUCAAGUUGCUUUCUAGUCCCCUUUGUGAAGCUAAAACCAGAUGAGACUAAAAGAACCAACAGUGAUUUUAAUACAAAAACUUGACUGGUAGGCUGGGAUGCUAGCUGGAUAGUUAGUUGUUUCAACCUUAUAUACAUUACAAUGCAGAUGGAUCAAACCAAACCCAACUAUCACCAGUGGAAACCCAGUUUAGCAAAUCAUGGGUUGCCACAGAAUUGAACUGGCUCUUGCAUUUUUCAUCUGUGCAUCACUAGCUUGCUUGUCUUAUAGUCUCCCUACUGAGUACUCCAUAGUGGGAAGUGAAACAGUGAACUUUCCAGCUGAGGAGAGAGUGGUGGAGCUCUUUAGGCUGUGGAGGGAGAAGCACAGGAAGGUGUAUAAGCAUGCUGAGGAGCAUGAGAAGAGGUUUGAGAAUUUCAAGAGGAAUCUCAGGUUUGUGUUGGAGAAACAUGCACAGAAAAAGGCUGCAGCUAAUAAGCAUGACACUCAGAAAGUUGGGUUGAACAAGUUUGCCGAUUUGAGCAAUGAGGAGUUCAGGGCGAUUUAUAUGCCGACAAAGAUUCAAAUGCCGAUCAGCAAAAGGGAAAGAAUGGCGAGGAGAAUGCAGCAGCAAGCAAAAGCAGAGCUGCCAAAGGAUGCUCCUUCAAGUUUGGAUUGGAGGAAGAAGGGAAUUGUCACUCCUAUUAAGGACCAAGGCAGUUGUGGUAUGUUUCAAUCACUUAUUUUAGUAGUUAGUCAAUACAUUUCAACUCAGUUAUUUGAUAAGUUCAAGUACUUAGUGAGAGACCACAACUUAUCAUUUUUCCUGUAGAUUGAUUUGAAGGGUGAGGACAGAUGCAUAUGCAUCUUUAGAUAGUUUAGAUUCAGUUGCAUCGUUAGUGCUCUAAAAAGAAAUUGAAGAAUAGGCUCUGUCACAUAAACUUUAUAAUUAAUUAUGAACAGGAAAGGUAAACAAAAGAGGAAUAGGAAUUCUCAACCUUACCUUAAAUUCAACCAGUAAAGGAAAUGAGUUCUUAGAGAAAGCCAAAAUUUUGAUUAGUGUUCAUCCUUCAUUGACUUUUUUUUUUUUUUGUUGUGUGAAGAUUUCAUUGACCUUCUGGUAUCUAUCACUUUCAAAAAUCAAUUCAUGAUCUCAAACAUCACGUAGUCACAUUCAGAUUUUAAAAAAGAUGCUUUAUUUCUUAUAGAGCAUUUUAUGAGUUAGUUGUUGAAGAAAUAAAAAUGUUAGGUAGUAAUACAAGGUCAUUGACAAAAGAGAAUAUAGCUUUCAGACCUGGAAAUAUUAUAUCUGACAGAUUAUGUCUUGGUUUACUGUUUCAUUGAAUAAGUAAGUUUGUUAAGCAAGUGUGAAAAUUAUACGGCGCACCCGGGUGUAUCCACCGUCCAUUUUGACCCGCCAAAAAAAAAAAAAAAAAUUAAACGGUGGAGAUGACGGGUGCGCCGAAUAGGCUCUCAAGCAAGUGAUGGUGUACAAUGUUUUACCUCUUCUUUCAAUUUUCGGAAACUGCCAGUUAGUAGUUGUCACAUUGAACAUGCUAACUUUUAUGAUCUAUUCACAGGAAGUUGUUGGGCAUUUUCUUCCACCGGAGGCAUCGAAGGAAUAAAUGCGCUGGUCACCGGAGACCUCAUUAGCCUUUCGGAGCAAGAACUUGUGGAUUGUGACACUACCAACUAUGGCUGUAGUGGAGGCUACAUGGACUACGCCUUUGAAUGGGUUAUUAGCAAUGGUGGCAUUGACACAGAAGCUGAUUAUCCUUACACCAGUACCACAGGUUUUGGUGGCACCUGCAACGUCACCAAGGUUAGCUUAUUACUUACAUAAUGUAGUUGUCUGAGACCAUGCUUCAUCCAUUUUCCUCUGUUCUUAUUUGGGUGUUUCCUUGUAUCAGGAGGAAACCAAAGUUGUCACCAUUGAUGGCUAUACAGAUGUUGAAGAGACAGAGACCGGUCUUUUCAAUGCUGUGCUUCAGCAACCCAUUUCCGUUGGUAUAGAUGGCUCUACGUGGGAUUUUCAACUAUACUCAAGUGUAAGUCAAAAAUACUGCUGUUUAGUUCACUUCAAUUGUUGGCUUUGAUAUCUGAUAUGCUACCUAAGAUAUUGUCUAACUGAAACUCAUUAUGAUUUGAUCAGGGAAUUUAUGAUGGUGAUUGCUCUGAUGAUCCAAAUAACAUUGAUCAUGCCGUUCUAAUAGUAGGAUAUGGUUCUGAAAGCGGUGAAGAUUACUGGAUUGUAAAGAAUUCAUGGGGAACUAGUUGGGGGAUGGAAGGAUACUUUUACCUCAGAAGGAAUACCGAUUUGCCAUAUGGGGUUUGUGCAGUCAAUGCCAUGGCUUCAUAUCCUACCAAAGAGUCAUCUGCACCCACUCCUUAUCCAUCUCCAACUCCUCCACCACCUCCUACACCUGUCUCUCCACCACCCCCACCAGUGACACCGCCACCACCAACUCCAGUGACACCACCACCACCCUCUCCUUCUCCAAGCCAAUGCGGAGACUUCUCCUAUUGUCCAGCUGAUGAGACAUGUUGUUGCCUCUAUGAAUUCUUUGACUACUGCUUCAUCUAUGGUUGCUGUCCAUAUGAGAAUGCGGUUUGCUGCACUGGAACCGAAUACUGCUGUCCAAGUGAUUACCCCAUUUGCGAUGUUGAGGAGGGCCUAUGUCUUAAGGUAUGGAAACAGUGACAGUUUUAUUUCAGUUCCUUUUUUUUUUGAAAGGCAGUUUCUCUUUGUUUGUGACACAAGAAAACCAAGUAUUUUUGCAUUAUUAGAUUCAGCCUCUGGCUAGUUUAUUAACUUGUCACCCUUUUUGUUAUAAAGAAUGGCAGAGACUACUUGGGAGUAGCUGCAAGGAAGAGAAAGAUUGCCAAGCACAAGUUCCCAUGGACUAAAGUAGAGCAAACCGAGAAGACAUACCAUCCUCUACAGUGGAAGUUGAACCGAUUUGCUGCAAUGCGCUAGGCACCUAUUUGUUUUCCGGUGAGGUUUGAAGGUUGUUGCUACUCUUCUCUAUUUAAAUUAAUGUCAAGCAGUCAUUAGUUGACACUGCUUUAGACAAUGUUCUCGUGGACAUUGAUUCAUUGAACAUAUGCUGUAAGCAAAAACCAGAAACGGAAACAUUUAUCAGAGGAAAGUGAUUUUCUCUUCGUGGUGCAGUCAACAAAAUAAUUUGAUUCAUUACAGCAAAGUUUGGUGGAUUCUUUCUUUUUCCAAUCUUGUACCACAAAGUUGAAGAUGGAUUCAACUUAUUAUUGUCCUCACUUUGUAAUAUACCGAGUUUUAAGUAAAAUCUUUGUAGUAUUCAUUCCAUUCUUCUAAGUUUCUAACUGAACCAAAAAUACACACCGCAAAAUUAGCUGAAACAAAAUCUUAAAUAAUAAAGGUAAAAGAACUUGGUUCGAGUGCUUAUAUAUACAGCAAACAGCAAACUCAUCUGUAACACUCUGAACUCCUAGGCGAGAACUCCCAAUCUGCCUAGGAGUUCUCACCAAUUAGCUGCUGGAAAGGACCUGAAGGUCUUAUUUUAAAGGUGCAGCCAAUGCAGGUAGUGGCCAAAAGCCCAAAACUAUUGAAGCUGGAUCAAUAAACUAGAUUGUCAUCCCCUUGCUACUCUAGUUUCUCUAAGUUGUCUAGAUGAUCAUACAGGGCAAUUCAUUGCUGCAUUUUCCAAUCUAGUUAAACAUGCUAACCUCAGCUAAACAAUGUGAGUAUCUAGCUUCGUGAUGGCUUGGAUUUCCUCUACUCCCUCCAGAUUUAUAGUGUAAUCAUAGAAAGUGACUGCACUUAAGCCAUUGGAGAGGCUACUGCCAGGGACUCUGCUUUGCUUGCUAAGCGCUUAACAUACAAUAUGCUAUGAAGCGUGUGCAGAAUGUUUCUCAAAGUUAUACCAAGGAAUGAUGACUUCAUGUAACAUGGAGCAAGAAUACGAGACUCCAAGAAUACAUUAGGCCGGUGCACCUAAAACUUCAAGCAAAUAUCAUGCCUCAUAUAAAGUCGUUAGUAAAAGGCAUGUUCUCUAAUCUCUACUAUUAUUUGUUUUUGUCGGCAAAGUCAAUAAUCUAUAUGAUUAUUUACUUUUGAUCGGCCAAAGUCACGCCCUAUUGCCCCUAACUUAUUAUUAUCGUUAUAGCAGCAGCAGCAUUAUGAGCUGCAAGCCUGCAAAAGCUAUGAUAGUGUUAAUGUGUUAUUGUUAUUGGGGCAGGUCCAAAUGUGCACACGCAUCCCCAUGUUCCAUUGCAGCAAACCUGUUGACGGUGUUAGGAUAUAUACCUCAAACUUCUUAGAUUCAGAAGUUAAAUAAGAAAGAGUUGAGAACACAUAGUUGUGAGAAAAGAACUCGAUGGCAAAGGUAGGCAGCUGCCAAGUUCAUAAUGAGCCUCCUCUUCCAGAGAAAAGUUUUCAGUUUUCACAUUCACUGUAGAACCAAAAAUGUUCUUAGCAUCCUCCUCAAAACCGAUUGGCAAAUGGGAAGAGAUAUAAUUUCUCUUUUAAUUGUUACCAUGGACUUAGAUUCUGGUCUUAUAUAUUGUCCAGUACUUUCCCUAGUGUGUGAGAACAUUAAUCCAACAAAUGAACCAGUCAUAUUUGGGUGAUAUGAAACGCAGACAACCAAUUCCGACAGUGAGAAUGCAGCAAACUCAACACCAUGAAUCUUCUGGUCUGAUGAUAUGACUUUGUUGGACGCUUUGAUUGUUCUUCCAUGUCUCGAGGGUUUUGUAGAAUAUGAAUAGUCCAAAAUGCAGAGAAUAAUCAUCUAGUGUCAGAGAAACAAGAAGCCUGAAUUGGAGCAUUAUCAGUCAAUCAAGGUAAUCAGAAUCAAAUCAAUAUCCAAGAAAACCAUUUUAAUAUUGUUCCACAAGAAAGGAACAACAAUCAACGGUUCAACACUGGCUAUGGACUAUGGUGAUCUCCGCAAUUAGAGGGUACUUUAUAGGAAAGCAUUUGUGUUAUUUUAGUUUUGCUUGACCAAACUUUUUUCCCUUUAAUAAAACUUCCCUAUAUAUCUUGGUAAAUCUCAAUGUUUCAGUCAUUCAGAUUCUGCAAUCUGCAAAGAUGGAAGACAAUUAUUUCUUACUUAACUGUUAUAAAACACAGAAAGAUGAUAUUAUUUCUGAUUAUUAAAUUUCAGCAAUAAUAAUUGAAAUAGAACAAGGGAGAGUGAGUCAAAUCAUAUCACAUGCUUAUGGGGCCAAAAUGCUUCACUUCCACUAUCAGGUUCAUGAGACUUUGCAUGCCUUCCUUUCAUUUUUUUCACUACUUAGCUUAGACUCAUAAGCCUACCUUGUUAGAAAGCAAUCACUGUCUAACCAUAAAAUGAUUGAAAAUGAUUCACAAGUGGUACAUGGAGAUGAAAUCGUGGACUCAAAGUCUUUUGAGAAAAUCAUUCAGUGUAACCGACACGUUCAACUCAAAUGUUAUUACGAACUAAUUUCAAAACUAUACAUUAUGAUUAUAUCCCUGUGUUUAAAUACGUAAGAUUUGAUGAAAUUUAAGUGAAAUAACACUGUUUUUUUUGGUCGGUAACACUCUCUAAUAAUACGUGAAAUUAUUUAUUAUUUUUGCAAAAGUCCUAUAAUUUUGAUAAAUGGUUUUCGGGCCACUAGUCUCCCCACAAUAUUUGGCAGAUUUCAACAGUUAAGAGACCUUGGAUCAGUAACCAUAUCUGUACUCCCAACUGUAUUGUCCGUGACAGCACCUCAAUGCCCUCAAUAAAUAAAGCUUUCAUAAAUAACCCAGCAAGAAUCAAAAGGCAGAUAAUCCAUAGCAAGAAAGAAAGCUCAAGAAAAUUUCAAAGGGGACCACUUUUGGCAGAAUUAGGAAGCAAAAUGAUGGAGGCAGUGUACAAAAUCCUCUGCAACUCCAACUCUGCAUGUGUUUGGUUUUGGUAGUGGACUAAAAAGUUAAAAAAGCACACACUGAGCUUCUUCCACCUCUCUUUCUCUCUUGGCUUUUCUUUGUCUGCACUCAUUCCCUCACUCCACGGCUUCAUUCUUGGAGCCAAGCAUCAUCAGCAACACCCAUCUCUCUCUGCCUCAUACUCAUACAGUGAUAACUUGAGAGGUAUGUCUCUUAUCAUCUUCUUCUUCCUCUUCAGUGAGCUUUAAUUUCAUUGAUGGUUUUGAUUGUACAUGAAUUAUGAGCUUCAUACACUUUUGGUUUGUGGGUAAUUCUGGGUUUUCUGGGAUUGCAUUCUGGUGUUUAGUUCUUUGUUCUGAAUUGGCAUGGUGUUGAAAUGAGAGUGAAACCAAUUUGGAGUUCUCGCUUGUCAGUUUGUUAGAUUGUAUUGGUGGGAUUUUGUUGUGAAAAGUUUCAGUCUUUUGUUGAAAAGCUUCAAUCUUUGUUAAGCUGCAGUAGUAAUUCUUUGGUUUAUGGCAAUUUGUCAGAGUUGGUGAAACUCAGCUAGCCUAGUAGAUGAGAUGAGAAACACCAAUUUUGAUUCAGAGUUUGUUAGAUUGUAUUGAUGAGAUUGUUAUGAGAGUUUCAGAUUGUUGUUGCAAAAUUUUUUUUUUAACCAGGACGAGUAAUUCUUUGUUUAUGGCAAUUUGUGAGAGUUGGUAAAAGGCAGCUAACCCAGUAAAUGCUUUUGUGCCAGUUACUUGUUAGAGGCAAAUUCACUCUGUACUUGCUUGGUUUAAUGGAGAAAAAAAGAUGCCAAAAAAGAAAGAAUAUGAAAAUCCUGUAUUUCAGUUUGGAUUUAGUCUUCAAUAGCCUCUUAAAUAAUGAAACUUUUCGAAAGUGUUUUCCUUUCUGGUACUUGCUCAAUACAGCAGCAAAGAAACAAAACGUGCUUAUUUGAGAAAUUGGGUGAUCUUUCAGGUACUAAUUCCCAUCAAAGUUUUGUAACGUUUACAAAGCUAAUUAUGCAUUAGCUAAAUCAGCAGAUUCUAUGGUAAUUAGGAUCAGCUAUAAAUCUUUUAUACUUGGACACAUCAUAGAGAAUCCUAGCAGAACAUUCAUUUUCGUGACUUAAUGGAAUUCCUUUCCUUUUCCAGAAUUCAUUCUAAACUUGGUUGUGAAGGUAUUUACUCCCCUGUUGUCAGAUAUUGCAUUUUGUCUCACAAUUGGGAACUUUGAAUACAUAUAGUCUGGAUAGUUGGCUUGAAUUCGAGAUUGGACAUGGAGGGGAGGAAACUCAAUUUCAGUGCACCACUUCUGUCGGUGAGACGAAUUUCUGCAGCUCCAGUGUCCACAAAUGCAGACGCUGGGAAGGUGACUCCUAGGUUGGCUAAUGGAAGACAUACACUUCCUCCACCCAAAUCAGAUUUUUCUUUGGAGCAGGUAACAAAACCAGUUGCAGUUCCUUUUCAUUGGGAGGACAUCCCAGGAAGAUCGAAGGAAGGUGAAGAACCAAAAGUUCAGUCUCAAGAAGAGGCUUCUGUUACUCCAAAACUUCCCCCUGGAAAGCUUGUAGAUGCUAAAAAGAAACCUUUAGAGAAAGAGCAAGCUGAUCAAAAGUCUAUUAGACCCUGCUUGAAAUCAUUUUCUUCGACUGAAACUGCAACAGAAGUACAAUGCUCAAAAGAGGGAGUGAAUGAGAGAAAAGCCUCAAAAUUUGAGGAUGAGGAUGAUGUUUACUCUGAUGCACAUGAGAUGCUUUCCCCGCCUACCGAGUCUUUCUCCAUGAACUGCAGUGCAGCUGGCACAAGCCAUUCUUAUUCUGCAAAUGUGAAGCCAUCUAUUGAUCCACAAACUCAAGACUUCAUGAUGAAGCGAUUUUUACCUGCAGCCAAGGCAAUGGCUUUGGAGACACCUCAUAUUGCUAUAAAGAAGCAGCAAUAUACAGCACCACUUGAACAACCAAGACAAGUCACAAGGGUAAUUAGACAGGAUACGAGUCCCUUACCUAAUCAACAACGGUCUCACAUGGAACUGGUGCAGUAUGGCCAAAACAAGGAGGAAGAAGAAAGUGAAGGAGAAGAAGAUGAGUAUGAUAAACCUGGUUACAUUACACCAAAGGGUUGUGGGUUGUUUCCCCGGUUAGGCAUAAGAAAUUCUUUGUGCCCUUUACCUGUUCCGGCAAUGAAGUCUAGGGCUCGGGCUCUCAUGUCUUGCUCCUCUGGUGUUGCAAUACCAGGAAAAACUACAGGAAAAUCUAGUCGUAGUCGGUCUCACAGUCUACCACUGAAGCGGGUUAUCAAGACUACCAAUAGUCAGUCACAUAGCCAACCACUUAACAAGGUUAUUAAGCCUGCUAAUAUCCAGUCUCAUAGCCAGCCACUCAACAAGGUUAUUAAGCCUGCUACUAGUCAUUCUCAUUGCCAACCACUCAAUAAGGUUACUGAGAUACUUUCAUUCAAAUUUUCAGUUUUCUAUUAUUUGUUUGCAGUUCUAGAAGAAACAUAUUCAUUGCUGACAGUAUUUGUUUUCUUUUAUUAGCGUGAUCAGGGUGCUGCUUAUAAUCUCAAAGUAGACCGUCGAUUUUAUUCAGGUGAAUUGCCAAGAUUGAACAAUCAGGCUGCUCAAUCCAAUCUGUUUAGGCACUCUGGUGAGCAACCAAAAGGUAGGUCAUCUCCCUUCAGGCAAUCAAGAAGUCCUUGCAUAUCCCCUUAUCGAAAUGAACGGCCUAAAUCUCCCUUUACUGGUGGGGGGUUUCUUGGCGUUCCCAAAGAAGACAGUGUCAAAGCCAAUAGUAGUAAGUUCAAUAUGAAUGACAAAGUUGGUCACAAGUCUCAGGAGGUACUAACCCAUCAAAGAAAUAAACAAGGGCCAUAUACUGUGAUCCCUAUGAUUGAGAAGACACUGUAUGUGGAUACUGUAAAUACUACCAAAAGAUCAUGUAAUUCAAGCUCUGUGUAUACCAAAGAACGAGUAGACUCUGCUGUUGAGGACUUGAGGAUCUUACUAAAGAGAAGUGGGAUGGCAGAAACGUCUUCAGAAGAGUCUUUGUUUCAAGAUAUCAAAUGCCUGACUAAUUUUGAGAGCAAUGGCAUCUCAGAACCUGCAGUAUUGGAGUCUGUCAAAGAUAGCUUAUCUUCAUUUUCUGACAUAUCCCAUAUGAAAGGCCAAGUAGUUGCAGUGGAGGACUCCCAGCUAGGAUUUGAUAUGAGAAGUGAUGACAUUAUGAAAAAUGAUCCAGGAACUGCUAACACUAUCGUGGUACAGUCUCCUAUUCCCCCACCUUUACCAAAAUCACCUUCCCAGUCUUGGCUCUCGUCCACUCUCUCUUCAAUUCCUUCACGGAGUUCAGUAUCCACUAGUACCAAAAGGCAUACUAAAAGGCUGGAUUCCAAGACUUCCUCCAGUGGUACCAAGUGGGAAACCAUUGUAAAAACUUCCAAUUUGCAUCAUGAUCAUGUGCGCUAUUCGGAGGUAAUCUCAACAUCCUUCUUUGCCACUUUGUUUCGCCUAGCCUAGAAGUCAUUUGUGACAAAGCUCUAACUUUUCCUCCCCUUGACAGGAAUUGAUUACUCAUGUUUGUCAGCAACCUAAGAGUUAGAUUUUCCCACUUCUUCAAAGCCUCAUCCCUCUUUCUGAAUAACAGGGUCUGGCCUAUUUAUUCUGUGGAGAUUCUCGUCCCCCAUUGUUUUUGAUCAUGAUACCUUCAGAGAGCAAUGUAAUUUGGUGUUCUCAGUUUUUGCUUACAAUUGAUACAGCUUAUAGGUUAGAAACAGAUGGGCCAAUUUUUUGUGUAAUUGGUAUGUAUCUCUCGAUAGUCGAUUCCAAUUUGUUUGGCUUCCUCUGAUGUUGAUGAGAAGGAAUUCACUUGUGCUUUUCCUAUUGAUAUGACAUUAUGUGGUUUUGAGUGGUUUGGUAAGGUUCGGAUAUAUCACCCCAAAGAUGUAUGCAUUUUGCAGUUUCAGAUAAGCAACAUAAAGCUAGGAAAGGUUGCUUCACUGCAAUCAUAGUUCUUAGUUUCUUUGUUUCCACUUCCAACCUGUCCUCCGAAUCUGGUACAUAAAGAAGAAAACUUCAGAAGUAUAACUAUAACUUGGGAUAGCUUGUCCAUGCCAAGAAGUCUUCGAUCUCAUACAUGAUGGAUAAUUAUAGAUGGGUCAAUAAUCCAUACUGUGCCAAGCUCUAUAUUAUGUUACAACUAGAUAGUUUACCCACGCCUUGCCGCAGGGAUAUAUUGCAUAUCACAUUCCAAUGUUAUAAUAGUAGAUACAAUCUAUUUAAUAUAGCAAAAUCACAAUGAAUAAAAUCUCAAAUGUUACAGAAAUCUAUUAGUUUUUGCAUUAUGGAUUAUACAGCAUAUAAAAUCUCAAGUAUUCGAAAUUUAGAUAGUAUGCUCUUGGAUUAUAAUCAAAUCCACAUAUGUUCAAAUUAACAAUGUAAACGGUUUCGCUAUCAUAAAUGCAUGAAAGUUAUAUUUUACAUCAAAAACUUGCACUUGUCAAAGAUGAUGCAAACUUGAAUCUGGUGAUCACAAAACAUAUGAUAAUCACAUAAUUGCUUUAGUCAAGGUCAAUGUCAAUAAGCCUAUAAAACACCUACAAUUGGAAUCUGAAAUUCAGAUAAACAUCACUUUGAAAAAUAAGAAAAAAUUACAAAAGAUCAUUCAGACACAAUGAAGCCAAAGAAUAUCAGAGCAAGGUAAAAUCAAUUUUAUUCAUGAAUAAAAUUACUACAGUUAUAAAAGGGAGACAUGUUGAAGAAAAUUACUAUAGUUAACAAAUAGUAUUUUUGUUUAAGAAGAAAAUGCUCCACCUAUUUGUUAACAGUUAUAGAAUAAGACAGCUUCUACUUGGCUAAAACCACCACUAUGACAACUCUGUAACAACAUAUAGGUAAAGACAAUCACUCACUGCAACUAUCCUGGCUGGGUUUUAGUAAUGAGCCACCAAAUUUAGAGAAAACCAAACUAAUUCUAAAAAUGUCAGAUCAUUAGUCAUGCUAACAGCUUUACCUGACUGCUCCUGUUGAUAUUGAGAUCUCCUGCAUUAAUCAAUACAAAUACAACACAAUUAGUACUAAAUAGUUUCACUCUACAGGAAUUUAAGAACAAUUUAAAGUGAUCAAUCUCCAAUAGUUGCAGGCUCAUUCUAGAACGUAGACCAAAGAGACGUUCAAUCCUAAGAACACAAAACACUCAAAGGACAAAACAUAAAAGAAGCUCACAUAGGGACCAAUGCACUUUGUAUGGAGCUACAUCUUACAUAUAUUGGUGAAAGCUCAAUGCGAUGAACCAAGAUAUUUGAUGGCGUAUUCAUGAGAGAACGAAGUUGAGAAGCAAUACCUUGCGAUUCAUAGUAAGAAAGGAGAAGAAAAGGGUUUAACUAUAGAUUGAUUUCACAGCAGAGAAGAACGAAGUUGAGAAGCAAUACCUUGCGAUGGUGAGCUCGAAGUUUCAAAUUGACCAAACCCAAUCAAACUCAGCAAAUUGCAGAAUCCUACCGAUAAAAAAAGUGAGAAAUCACAGCCCAGAUCACAAAUCAAAAGCAAAACAAAGGCAGAAGCAACAAUACAGAAAUCAAUUCGGAGAUUAAGAUAUAUGAAAAAUACCCAAAUUUUCAGGUCUCCAGAUUUAUCCGAGUUUGAUAAAACUCUUCCUUUUAACAAAGGAAAAUCGGUCACAAAACAGAAUAAUAGUAAAAGAGAUGAAACGAAGCGGCGAUAUUCUCUGAGAUGCAAAGAUAGAGAGACGGGAGAAAUAAAAAUAAAGGAAAUCUGAAGAGGCAAGAUCGAUCUGGAAGAUUCAGGAGGCAGAAAAAAAGUCAAAAAUGGAGGGCAAAAAAAUCUUUGGCAAGAGAGAGCCUAUCUAGAAAAAUCUAAAUUACCUGUUUCAGAACCAAGAAAAAAACGUUCACUGUUGUAGUGAACAGUGUUUUCAUUAUACCCUGAAAACACAUUGUUCACAUACUUAUGAACAGUCGACCAACAAAUGUUAUAUAGGUGACAUUAGUAGAGUUAGCGAGAUAUAUAUCUCACUCAUUUUGCCAAAGAAUAUCUCACUCAUCAUUAUAUAUACUUUAUAGUAUAUUUUCAUCAUAUAGUUGAGAAACUCAGGCUCAAAAUGUUGCCUGGCUACAAGGUUGUUUACAUUACUGUGAUUAAUCCCAAUUUCAGACAAGUACUAUGUCGAGGAUAGUUGACGAUAUGAACUGGACUAAUAAAAUUAAAGAGAAAGGGAAAGCUUGGUGCUAAUAGUUUCUUGUUUGCUAUUCAUGUCUUCGAAUUGAUGAUCUUUGCAAUGUUGUGAAGUUUCUAUAACUCCUUCCGCAAUUUCAUAACGUUCUUCUUCAUGACUAACCGUCUGAUGAUGCUGAUGAGUCUCGUCACUGAUCUCCUUCCCAACUCUUUGGCUCUGUAGACCCAACUCCAAAUGAGGCAUCCAUUCCUUGUACUUCGAAAUCUUUUCUUUGUUCCACUGAGAAACAUUAACCACAUCAUUCAAGAACAGCUAAGGAUAUGGGUGUGUGUGUGUAUAUAUAUAUAUAUAUAUAUAUACAGUCAUUCUCAGGUGCGGAUGUCCGCAUUUAUUUUUACGGUGCGGAUUUCCACUUUACACUCACUUUUCAAUCGAAUUUUCACAUCUCCACCGUCUAGUAUUUAGAUACUAAUGUAUAGAUCAUCUCUGUAAAAUUUCAGCCAAUUUAGUUAUCAUUAAGACACUCAAAACUGCAUUUUUCUGUUAUAAACAUGAACGGUUCAAGUUCGACAGAAUUAUGUUCAUCCAUUGGUUUAAUCAGUUUGAGUGUCUUAAUGAUAACUAAAUUGGCUGAAAUUUUACAGAGAUGAUCUAUACAUUAGUAUCUAAAGACUAGAUGGUGGACAUGUGAAAAUUCGAUUGAAAAGUGAGUGUAAAGUGGAAAUCCGCACCGUGAGAAUAAAUGCGGACAUCCGCACUUGAGAAAAUAUAUAUAUAUAUAUAUAUACACACACAUAUGAAUUCAUUUUACAUGAUACAAAAUUACAUACCUCAAGCCUAAAUGGUGGUUCGCAUUCUUGUUUAUGGCUACCGGAAUUGCUAUGACCUUCAAGGCUCCAACAAUGUAGAUCAUAAUCUUUUGGUCUUGUACCUUGUGUAUUGCUUAUCAUAUGAUGCAAUAUAUCAGAUCGGGACGAGCCAUUAUGAAAAUUUGACCAAUUGAUAAUGUUGGAAGCAAAUCUUCUGCCCCUCCAGCUUUUGCUAAUGCUUUGUAAUCGGCCAGGGUUUAUGGGAGUGCUUGUAUGAUGCAAAGCUUUGUUAAAAUUGUUCCCUCUUACGACUUCUUUCUUUGUCAGAGAAUUUGAUCUAUCAUAUACAACAGCAUUAGAGGCAAUCAAGUACAUACAAAGAGAUCAGCUAGAAUUAGGAAAGUAGAUUAUGCAUGUAUGUAUACCUCGGAACGAAGUUAGGUAUGUGAUCCCUUGAUUCCCUUCCAUCCAUGUAGUCGUAAGUUUUGACAGAUACUACUGUAUAUUCACAGAAGAAAGUUGCGUGAAACUGAAAGAAUACAAAACGAAGAAAAAGAAAAUCAUAAGUUUCAUACCAGCAGCAAAGAGGCUUACUCAUGAUAUAUAUGUGGAAACACUCUUUGGAAUUCAACUUUUUUUGGUUCAUUUUUAUGUGUAAAUCUUGUGCUUAUUAUGUCUAAAACUUUGUAAUUCUAAAUAUGAAUAAUCUCUUUUGAACUCUUGAUGAACUCCAAAUGAUAAAAUAAUCUCUUUUGAACUCUUGAUGAACUCCAAAUGAUGUCGUCUAGCUUUAACUUGAGAGUACACAAUCAACAGUAAAAAUUAAAGACCGGUACCGUAUAGGAAUAUAUAGGAAUGUGAGAGAUCAAACUUUACCUUGACCAUCCCCAUCAAGCUUCUUACUUCGAUACAUCUGAAAAAGGAUAAUACAUGAAUAUUCGAAGACAUUAGCUGGGAAAAUGAAGGGAAACUUAUCAUAAGAUCACCACCUGCAAGUGACUCUUUACGUGGGAAAUGCUCAGUCCUCUCACAUUCAUUAGCUGAAGAACCAACUUGGGAGUUGCUCCUGUAUGCAUAUAUAUGUACGUAUAACCAUCAAUAAGUAAAUAAGAGCAAAACAAAUCCGUGUCAAAAAUUAAGGAAGUCAAGUAAUCUCAAAAAUCUGCAAAUUAACUUACUCUCUUGCCCUCCUAGUAAUUCCAGAGCAUGCAAAAAAGAAAGAUGGAGUUGGGGUGUCCACCGGAGACGAGGUAAUUUGGAUCGUACAUAUGGCCUUACUUUAGCCCUAGAGCUAUUACUAAUAAUAUUAGCUGCAUUAUUCAUGUUUUCCUGUGCUAGGGCUCUUCUUUCAUCAUUUCUAACUGAACUAGGUUCAUGAUCAGCCAGGUUAGUAACGCUGGUAUAAUUGCUAUUAUCAUUGUCGCUAUUAUCGCUAACAUCUUCAUUCAGAUCAAAGGAUGAGCAUUUCUGGGAAGACUCCACCGAUAUGUUUUCUGCUUGUUCCUCACUAAUCUUGUCAGUCUUUCGUUUUUGAUCACCAAGGUCACCAAUUAACUCCAGCUCAUUCCUCAUGGCACCUGUUAGUCUGUUACAACUUAUGAUUCCCAAGACGCACGCUGUUUCUUCCUAACCAGGUGAUUAAAAUUGCUGAAAAUGAAAAAGAUUAAGUACGUUAUCAGUAAAAAUCUUAUCACACUAAUGACUAAUUACAACAAUGCUUGUGAAAUUUAUGUGAAUGAUCUUUAUUCCCUAAUUUUAGACAUUGCAAACUUGGUAAGAAGAAGCGACCAGAUCGAAUAAAUUAUUUAAGAUUUAAUUUCCGAACCAUUUAAGAAUCAAAUAAUUGAUGUAGGAAAUUAUCGAAAACUCAAGAAGGGAAUUUAUGAUUCCAAAGAAACAAGAGUUUAUCCACCAACAUGUUAAGGAUCAUCUCAGUUUCAGGAUGGAAUCGAUAACUUGAACUUCAACACAAAAUGAAAGACAUGCAUCAAAUUAUUUAUUAUUCCAUUAUUCAUGAUUAAUUUAAUUCUCUUUACCAUGUGAAUCUGGAUUCAUGGAGCUGGCCUGGAGAGAAAGAUAUCAGAUAGGCUAAUUAAUCUGAUACAAUAAGAUCGGUUAUCUAGCCAGCACAGCUGGAUCGAACCUCAAAGAAGAUAAGAAACUAUAGCGAUAUAUCAAGGCCGGGGAUAGUUUUUCGACUUCUUCUAUCCCCAGUUAGCUCAAUACAAACCAGUAGUGGUGAAAGUACCUGCUGCGUGCCUCAAUCCUUCUUGCAAUUGAUCAAACAGUUUGCUGGCCAGCCCAAUUCUUCCAUGCGGUAUACAGCUGAGAACGAAAUCGAUCAGUCAAGAUAAAGAUACUGCUAGGUUUAUUGUUGACAGUGGAAAUGAAGUCCUCCAAGUGCAGGGAUACCCUAUGACUUUGAAGGUAUAACCAUGGAAAACAAGGAAUUUUGGUCGAGCUUUUAAUAAAAUACCAGCAUGCAUAUACAUAGUAAUAUAUAUACUCACAUUAUUUUUGGUCGAUCUGUCUGUAUAUAUGGGUAAAUAAGAUCAUAUGCGACUGAUUGCUCCCUUCGGAUUGUUGGAGAUCAUGUGACCACACCUUAGCUUUAAUUCUUCAUCUUCCUCUUCUUCUUCUUCUUCUUCUUCGUCUUCUUCUCGAUCUCCUUUUUAGUUUUCACACCUGAGAUCGAGUUGUCCUUUUUAAUAACCAGCUGCUUUGUAUGUCUCUGUGUAUAUAAUGCUCGUGAUUAUCUUAAUUGUUUUGUACUUGACCUCUGCGGAGACUCAUCUGCAAUCUAUUGGGUUUAUUUAGUUUAUAAUCAAACUCUUUUGUUUUGUGCAGCAAGUUUCUUUCAUCUUGAUUAAUUAGUGUAAUGAUCGAAUUAACAAAGAGUGGGGUCUCUUCUGUGUCAUCAGUCUUCUCUCCAGUCUCAGUUUCUAAUUCCUACCUAAAAUCGGACUUUUUUCCAGUUCCAACAUGCACCUGUUUUUCUGCUGCCCGUCUCAAGUUCUUCGAUCAAUUAAUACAGCUCAAAGAAUUAUUUGGUGUCUCUGAUGUCUACGUUCUUUUUUAAGAAGGAAAAAAAAACAACUUCCGAAACUAUGAAAUUCUUCACAUAUUCGUGUGAAGAAUAUAUAUAUUGAUAUAUAUGAAGGAAAAAACGACAUUUUUCCCCCUGUAUACGGUAAAAUAUGUUUUAACAUAUCUUCACAAACCAAGAAGUACGAGAUUGCUCCUUUCAUUUUGGUUCUAAUUAACUACGUACGUGUUAAGAAAAAAUUCUUCAUUUUGGUAUAAGACGUUUCAAUGGAGUCACUAGAUUUUGAAGGGCCAUUGCAUGAUUGUAUGUUGAGUGUGAAUUCUUUAAAAUGAUUAAUUAUUCUCGAGAACAAAGGAUUAGUCAAUUUUGGUGGGACUUCAUCUGCAUGGAGCGCCUCCCUUUAGGGAAAAUUCUUCUGUACCGUAUUUCCCUUUAGUAUAUAGAACAGAGAAAUAGGCAUGGAUCAUUCUCUCGUAUAUAUAUAUAUAUAUAUAUAUAUAUAUAUAUAUAUAACGUAUUUCCCACUGCAGGGCAAAUUAUUGGUUUCAGACUCUUCUCUUUCAAGAUCACUUUUAACAAAAUGAAGUAUCGAAGAAAUUGAAACCAUAUAUAAGGGCUACAAAUACCAGUUUUUUUUAUAAUACUGCGUACCAACCAAGUUAUAAAUAAAUGAUGGGCAAAAAAUCUGCUAUCAAUAUCAGCGGUUGAUGUUGGGAUAUAUGUAGAUAUGGCUGAACUUGGACACGUACGUUACUAUACUAUGAAAGAAAUGAGUAAUGACAGUAUGUUAGUCCUACACCGAUCGAUCUGUAUAAUCGCAAUUCAUGAUCAUCUUGUGAGUCUGGUACACCUAUCUACCAAUUUGACUAAUUAAGGGCACUUCCUUUAAGAAGAAGUAUAUAUAUAUGCGAUGGGAAAUGAACUAGCUAGAAGCAUUAUGACUACCAACUUUGUUGACUAGUUACCCCAAUUAGGCAUGUUCGAAUUCGUUUAUGUUGUCUAGUACUUGUUAGAGUCAAUUUUGUCACUGUUUCAUUACCCUAAGUCCCUAAUAGAUAUGCGAGGAGCAAUAUCAAUAAAUCAGAAUCAGAAUUAAUCACUGCAUGCAGACGGGGAAUUGGAGACUUGUCUCCGAUAAAUAUCUAUAAAUUGUGUUCAUGAAAUGGUUCAACCUGUUCAAUAUUGUAAAUUGCCGUGGGUUUUUCCUAGCAUCCAAACUGGUUUACCUUUGAAGGCGCUUGGUAAUCUUAUUCGACAAGUUCUAUAGAUCGACCAGGUUAAAAGAGGAACCCCAACCUAGCUAGGAAAAUGAAUUCAACCAUGCAUACACAUUAUGUGUCAAGAUUAGUUCAUGAUUGAAUUACAGGCCAGCUAGGAUUGAGAUGAAAAGCACUUGCUCUUUUGUCUUCUCGUAUAUAUGCAUGGGAAGUUGACAAUUUCAAUUUCUUUUUUGAAGUAGGAAUUAAGAAUCUUUCGACUACUAUAUAGCUAGUUCUCUAUUAUUACAAUGUAGACGUCCGACCUAUGUAGCAUCUGAUCACACUAUGCAAGAUCAUGGUGUAUGUAACUAAUCGGGAUAGAAUAUAGUUAAAUUAACGAUAAAGGAGAAUCAUGUCUGAUUAUACUAUUGUAAUGGAGUUUAUUAAUUAGUGUUAGUGAUGAAUCUCUGGGUAUUACUCGAUCUGUUUGUUUGUUUCCUAUGAUUGCUGGAAGAAAUGCAUCAUCUAGCUCAAACUUCUUUAUGGAUUAUUUGGGAGUCGAUCCAUCAUUGACUAACUGGAGAAAGAGUGAACACCGUUCAACGAUGGAACGUGUUUUGGUUUCACACAGUUCCUUAUAAUUUAAGGACUACAAGAACAACAGUGAACCGAUCGACUGCAAAGUUGUUGGUAUUCUAGGAUCGAUGAUGCUUAGUCAAUCUCAAUGAGUCAAUGUAAUUGAUAAUAGAUAGAUAUCGAUCAUCGAUGUACAAGGUCCUGUAAAUUGUAGCGGAAGACCUUGAUAUCCGGAUGUGAUUUUCUACUCCAUUGAUAUAGGAUUUGAAUCCAAAUCAUUCCAUGUAAAGGUUAGAUAUAUAGUUAGUGAUCGACUCAACUAUCUGCUCAUUUUAAAGUUCAUAGCAGAUGCUACUUGAUGUACGUAGUUUAGAGUCUUGCUGAUACUUACACUUUGAAGGUUUUGUUAUGUCCAAGCUGCAACAUAUAUCUAUUACACGGAUUAUAUAUCCAAGAAUUCGAUUCAGAUAUUAUAAAACUCAAUAGUUCCCUUCUCCAAGUUUGUUUUUUCCUUCCAGCUUGCAGAUGAUGAUGAUACAAAGAGAAUCAAAAUGAGCAUAUGAAAUGUUGGGCAGAUGAUCGGCACCACCAACAUGGGCAGUGCAUCUUAUGAGAGACAAACAUUCUGACAAAAAUGUGUGGAAGACAAGAAUUGAGAAACAAGUAGAUCGAUUAGUUGACCUUCUUCUACCAUCUGUUUCUUCUCUCUUCUCAAAACCCUAGCAAUACUGUACUAUUCCGGUCGACGCCCUAUCGAUCUGAAUUGGGCCUUAUCACUUUAAGCAAAAAAUGUACCAGAUAUUUAGUAAGCCCCGAUUUAGUAAUCAUGAAAUGAGACUGGAUCAUGGCAAUGGCCCAUAUGUAAAUAUACCUCUCAGUCAAUGCAACUAAUAAACACCUAAUCAAGUGUGGGUUUCAGUUCGAGGUUUAUUUUCAGGUUUUGGUGGCCAACGAUUUCCAUGGUGAAUGUCUUAAUAAUGACCUAAUUUUCAACUACUCUUAGCAACUAUGAUUAGAACUUGGUACUAGAGAUCAGUAAUUCAGUAUACCUAUAAUGAUUGAUGGCAGCUACACUACUAGCAAUGAGCUCGAUCUUAAUGUCUAAUCAAGCUCCGAUUGUCCCACAAUGCAUGACCAGCUACACCGUGAAAUGAUAUAAAGUGUCAUUACUGGCAUUAUUCUAAAUCUAACUUAUCAGCUACCCUAUACUCUCAGGAAUUGCGCUAAAUCUAGCUUUAUUGUUACAAUAUUCUAACCAAAACCAUCAAGGUGUAUGGAUUGUGUAAUCUUUUUGGUCCAAUAGAAACAAUACUACCUAGAGUGUGAUCUAGNNNNNNNNNNNNNNNNNNNNNNNNNNNNNNNNNNNNNNNNNNNNNNNNNGAUAUAAACCUCCAUAUUUAUUCAAAAUGUACGAAUUUUCUUAAUUGGUCUAUUUUUUAUCUUAAUCGUUCAUCUUUUAUGUAUAUAUGAAUAGAUUAUUUCUACAAAAUUUCAACUAAACUGAUAAUCAUUAAGGUAUUCAAAACUAGGGAUGAUAUAAACCUCCAUAUUUAUUCAAAAUGUACGAAUUUUCUUAAUUGGUCUACUUUUCGAUCAUAUUUUUUUAUCUCAAUCGUUCAUCUUUUAUGUAUAUAUGAAUAGAUUAUUUAUACAAAAUUUCAGCUAAACUGAUAAUCAUUAAGAUAUUCAAAACUAGAGAUGACAAUGGGUACGGUACGGUACGGUCAGGGGAUCAAAAUACCAUACCCGUACCCUUUUUCAUUUCUCAUCCCAAUACCCGCCCCGAUCCCCGUUAACAAUUAUGUAAUAAUUAAUUUUUAAAAAAUAAUUACGAAAUAUAGAAAUAUGAAAAUAAAAUCAAAUACAUAUAUAAAUAAGUUUCUUGAUUCAAUCCAAAAAAAACGAAUGCAAGUCUCGGUUAAAAAAGAAGUUUCUAUAAAUAUUCAUUAAGUAAAUCAUAGUAAAAAAAUAUUACAAAAGAUUUUACAUAAAUAUCUAUUUAUAAAUAAUAUAUAUAUAUAUUAAAAAAUAAUAUUUACAUCCUAAAUGAGUGGGGAUAGAGACGAAUAUCAAAAUACCAUACCAGCCCCGUACCCGAUUCAAAAAUCCGAAUACUGAAGAUCUCCAUACCCGUCACCCGUUUAUCCUUGUAUAUCUCUCCCUUUAGGGUUGAAUACCCGUGGGUACCUUACCCGCUGGGGGUUAUUGCCAUCCCUGUUCAAAACUUUGAAUUACACAAACAGUUCCGGUACGGUUGAACAGAUUUGAUUCCCUCAUUGUAAUCAUAUAAUUUUAACACCUUAACGAUACAAUUUAAAUAAAUAAAAAUAUUUUGACCUCGUAAGAAUUAUAUAUAUAUUACAUAAUGAGAAAUUUUAAAUACACACCCCUAAUCUCUUAAUACACACCUUUAUUAUUUUAUGUUUUUAUUGAGAUUUUAUAGGUAAGCUAAAUGACCAAAACAUACAUCUAUUAUUUAAAAAAAAAAAUUCACGCUAGAAGUAUUCUUUUCAACGUCUUCUACCCUAAAAUAGUCGAAAGCACGUCUUCUCCCCUAACCCCCAAUUCUUCUUCACAAUUCAUUUUGGGGUUUUGUUUUUUUUUUUUUUUNUUUUUUUUUUNNNNNNNNNNNNNNNNNNNNAUGUUUUAUCGAAUAACUAGCUAUUUAUGUUUAAUAGCUACUGUACUUCUACACUUGUACUAGUUCGUGAAUUUUGAAAACUUGUAUUGGUGAUUUGGAGUUGGGAUAUAAUAAUAAUCAUUUGAUUAUAAAUUGAACGAUGAUAACCAUAAAUUUCUAGCAAAAAUUAGACGAAAUAAUAUGUAAAAAGAGAUACCAAAUAGUAAAUAUAUAUUAAUUAUAUUAAAUAACGGAAUAUUUCAUAAAUUCAGGACAUUUUAGGCAGUUUGGGAUGUGUAUUAAGUAUAAUACUUAAAUAAAAAACUUGAUAGGUGGUGUAUUAAGUAAGGAGUGUGUAUUAAGAUAUUAGGGGUGUGUAUUUAAAAUUUCUCUUACAUCAUGUGUUUUACUAUACACCUGUUUUGUAACAAACACUGAUAAUGAUUAAUACUCUUAAUAUUAUUGUUUACUUAUUAUAUCGAUAUACUGUAUGAUAACUUCAUCGAUCUUUCCAAACUCUAAAGUAGUGGUUGUUUAGAUUCAAAUGAACACUCAAAAGAUUCAAAUGUAGAAUAAUAACAUUGUAAGAUCAAAGAUUUAAAAAUCCUCUAACAUGUAGAAAAUGGUGGGUUGCGCCAUUUAACCACGUGGCUAAACUUGAUUGGUGGUAAGGAUUUGAUUUGAUUUUCUUUUUUUCCCCUGAAAAAUACUAAAUCAGGGAGGAAAAAAAUAAACUUAGAGGGAAGCACGCAAAUUAGGUGGGGCCCUGUCAGCUAUUCAAGGAAAAAAUAAAUUGGAAGCGCGUCCGAUUACGCCGGAAGUGGGGGCCCUCCUCACCAGUCAUUGGCUAUGAACUUCCAAAAAUGCCCUUCUUUUGUACUGUGAGCUCUGUGCUGCCGUUUUGAGUUCCCGCCCGAAUCAAAAUUAACCACGAUGAAAAAAAAACAUUUCUAUCCACGAAACGUCUAACAUACUUUACAUACAUUACAUUUUAAACCAUGAUUAACUAACUCUAUCUAAUUUCCGAAAAGACCAUCUCUAUCUACUUUGACAGACAAAAAACAUUUCUAUUCACGAAACUUUUAAUAUACUAGACGUACAUAUAUUUUAUUGAUACAUUAUCUGACUGUGUGUGAGCCUUGAUAAUAAUUUUGAAAAUAUUGUUUGUGUUCACACACCGUCAAUUGGUGGUGAGUGUUUGACAUAGAAGUGCGUACCGAAUUUCUUUUGUUUAAAAAUGAUUUAGAACUGAGUUUAAUUAAGAGGCUCAAUUUCACGCCGAAAUUAUCAUUAAACCAAGUAUCGUAGUAUAUAUUACGUAGGAUUCCUUAUUGUUAUGUAGGAUUAGAGAGUGUCCCUGGCCCACCCUAAUCACUACCCUCCCACCCCAAACAUUCAUAAGGACCCACCAGGGCCAUCAAACAAAUGCAAGAAAAAAUAGAUGAAUACGUAGAAAAAUCAAAAAAAGGAAAAAACAGAAAAAAAACCAGCUUGUAGGGGUUGGCUGGUGGCUGGUGGGGGUUAGAGGGAGAAAGAAAGAGAAGGAGAGAGAAAGACAAAAAAAAACGAAGAAAGAAGGAAAAAAACUAGGGAAAGAUUGAAGAAAGUGUGUGAGAUUGAGAGACCCAAAAAGAUGGUCGAAAAGAGGACAAACCUCUGAGAUCAUCCUGAGAAGGGCAGUAAUAGAAGAAAAUCCCAGGAAAUUUGAUAGGUUUGGAGAAAAGUUGUGGCAAGGUUUAAGGCCAUAGAUAUCAUAAAAUUUGUGUGUGGUUUUUUCUCUUUUGCUGCCUUUUGAAGUUUUGAGUCUCAAUCUUUACCCCCACCCAAUCCAAAACCCUUAAUCUUUUGUCCAAAAUCCAAUCCAAAUUCAUAAUCACCACAACCACCCCAAUAGAGGAGAGUAAAAACGAAAGAGAGCUCGUUCAACACCCAUUUUGGUCCCCCUUGUUUAAGGUAAAUGCCCUACAUUGCUUGCUGUGGAGGGUAUUCCCUUAUUGCUUUUCAUGUAUGUGGGGUCAUUGGCAUAUUGCUAACAUUGUGUUUUUCGUUUUUGUUUGGUUUUGGAUUUUCAGCUCUGCCCAGAUAAGAGAUACAAUCGGCUGAGCCUGUGAACAGGGCUAUGCGUGUGAAGAACAGGGUGUUGUAACCUCGACUCAAUGCGUUAUCAUGAGGGACCCUGAUAUGGUUCUGGGUUUGUGUUUGUAUAUAGCAUAGGUUUUGGCCUAGUUAGAGUUUUGUCUACUAACAAAAGGAAAAAGAGAAACGUUCAUUUUUGAGCAUAGUGGAAAGGGGUGGCUCGUAUCGAAAAACCUGGCGAUUUCGUGUAGGAAUUUAUUUGGCUUCUUGACUUUCAGAGGAAAUAGUUACUAUCAUCUCCAGCAUUUCUGCAUCUGGUUCAUCAGGCAAUGGGGGCUAGAUGGAACCCUUUGGGGUUCCGCUUGCUCUCUCUCUUUGCUAUGAUAUUUGCUUCUGCUGGGAUUCCGGGUUCUUGGUCUGCUAAUGAUGAAGGUAGUACCUUUUAUUCUGUUCAUUUUGGCUUUUUGAUUGAACAAUUUCAUUGUCUGUUAUUGUGUUUAACGUGUUGUUUUCAAUUGGGGUGGACAUGCAGGUGUGGCUUUGUUGGCAUUCAGGGAGAACAUAAAGUUUGAUCCUUUUGGUGCUUUGGAGAAUUGGAGUUCUAAGGAUGGUGACCCUUGCCUAUGGACCGGUGUUCAUUGUGUGGACAAUAAAGUGCAAUUGUUGUAAGUCUCUCCUGCGUUUUGUUCAUGUUUUUCUUAGUUGGAUAGUUUCAAGAGAUCUCUUUUGUUUUUGAUGAUGAGUCUUAGUUUAGGCAUUUUCAAGAGAUGCUCCUUUGUUUUUGGUCUGAUUUUUGAUGGUCUUUUAAUUGACUUAUUGUAGGAAUCUGACAGAUCUUUCUUUGGAAGGAACGUUGGCACCUGCCCUUGGGAAACUUAGUCACUUAAAAUCUCUGUAAGGACUCUCAUCAUCACUGAAUCUAUGGAUUUUGAUGAAUUACAGGUUUUGGUAUUUGGUAAAUGGUUUUUUGCACCCAGAUGUCUCUCCUUAAACAUAUAUGGCUUGGUCAUGGAGACUGGAGAGUAUGAACAAUGCAUAGACCAAAAGUUGCAACCUUGUUUUUAAAGAUACAUACUUUAAAUGAUAAUGAUGGAGAAAGCAGUCAAACUGUUACUAACAAUGAUCUAGAAAGCAAAGGAAUGUUUCUUUUUGGCUGAAAAUAAUAAGGUAGCAAUAGAAAGCAAUGAAGCUAGCUGAUACUUACAUUAUGUGGUAAAACAUAUAGAAAGACUGAUAUAUAUUCUUUGUUUCUUGGGUUUGAUUUCAUUGUUAUUGUGAUAUUAAAGCUUUUCGUGGAUUUCAUUGGCCUCAAGUGAAUCUCUCAGUUUAUGAUAGUCUAAUUUAUGGGUAAUUCUGAUUUGAAAGAUUGAUAGUUCAUGAAUCUAGGGUGGUCUAAUGUUGUCUUACUCUGUAAACAUAUGGAGUUUUCUUAUUAUUGUUUCCUCUAAUUAACAGUGUGCUCUACAAGAACCGUUUAACUGGUGAAAUUCCCAAAGAGAUUGGGGACCUUGCAAGGCUAGAGCUUCUAGAUUUGAGGGAUAAUGAUCUGAGUGGAACAAUUCCAGUUGAGAUAGGCAGGAUGUGUUCACUAAAACGAUUGUAAGUUAGCUAUUGCAUCAAUCCUACUUUAAUUGAUUCUCUAGCUUUCAGGUACCUGUGCUAAACUCAUGUGCACAACAGGUUGCUUGGUGACAAUAGAUUUGAAGGUGGCAUUCCCCUGCCCCUAAAGAGUGUCAACUUGCUCUCUGACUUGGUAAUUGUUAGUGAUCAUGAUACAUCUACUGGAGUCAGUGGAUUUGGCUCUGUAAACAGAAAAUUUGGACACUGGUAAGUAUUGUUAUUGCUUGAUUUUGAAUUGGAUAGAUCGCUUUCCCUUCUAGUGUCUAAUUUUUCAUGCAUUUGUUGGCAGCAUUUGGCAGAGCAAUUUAAAACAUUGGAGUAAUGUGAAUUCCUUAACAUUAAUGGUUAAAGGAACUCUUAUGCAUUAUCUCAACUACUUGCGAAUGCCAAGGUAAGAAGCCAACUUUAUCCUUACCAUGACAUCCCAGUUAUGUUGGUUUGUUUGAAUCACUUCUUUGAAACUGUUUGCUUUUGCAAGGCUCAGUAGUAGCAUACAGGACUCUCUGCAUGUCCAUGGAGACACUUGCUGUGAAAAUUUAUCUAGUAAGUGAGAAUGCCUUACAAAUGCAGUAAUGAAAUUUUAUACUUCCGAGAAGGUUCAUUGACAUUGUAUCUUUCAUUGAGCAGAUUCAUUCGAGUCACACAUGAUCUUUGCACGCCGUAGGCUGCAUGAACAAACCUCCCUAAACCUCCCAGCUAUACCCUUUGUUGGUCCGGAACCAUCUAUACAGAUCAUUUCUCUUCCAACCAGCCGAAGUAGUGGCUCGUUUCCAGCUGUACCUGAUGCAAAAAAGAAGCUUUCUCCUCCACCUGCACCUGCACUGCUGGCUUCACCUCCUAAUCUUUCAUCACAGAAUAAUCAACAACAGGAUUCCCCAAAAUCAAGUAGCAAUAUGUGGAAGUAUAUUGUUACUGGUAUCAGUGUGGCUGUGUUGCUCAUUGUUCUUGUGAUGAUGUUCUUCAUGUGUCGAAGCCAAGCUGUUAAAACCAUAAAACCUUGGAAGACAGGAAUAAGUGGCCAGUUGCAGAAAGCAUUUAUCACAGGUAAUAUGUUGAUCGUAGUGUGAUAGUAACAACUGUAAUAUUAUUUUGUCCACUGAAAAGCCCAACAAAGAAAAUCAAGGGAUAUAAGCACAUGAAAAAUGGAGGAAACAGUCAUAUUAGAGAAAAUAACAAUGUGAGAGAAGUAAAUCAGAUCCUCUUAGAUUGGUGGGUUAAUGCAUCCAUCAUUAGAAUUUGUUUUUAACUCUGCCUUGAUUUAACUUAACGAGUUAGGACAUUUUAAAUAUUAUCAUCUAGAGAUGUUUGUAUCUUCUGGUUUAUUUUGUUAUGGAGCGUUUAUUAAGUAAAAUCAUGUGCCUCUUAUAGCUGGUGAUUUCACUAUCACCAAUGUAUGUUGGCAUGCCUCAUUGCUACUAAACUAGUCCUGUAUGAAGAUCUCUGACAUGUAACAUAAAAACUAAAUUAUGUCAUUACAUGGUUCCAGGAGUUCCCAAGUUGAACAGAUCAGAACUAGAAACCGCCUGUGAAGAUUUCAGCAAUAUUAUUAGCACAAUUGAUGGUUGUAUUGUGUAUAAGGGAACACUCUCUAGUGGAGUUGAGAUCGCUGUUGCAUCUACAACACUGACUUCUUUGAAAGACUGGUCCAAGAAUGCAGAGAAGGCUUACCGGAAAAAGGUAAGCGAUCUCUGUAACUAAAUACACCAUCCAACAUAUUUGCUCCUUUCUCUUUCCUUCUCAAGUCUAAUCAUAAGCUCUCUUGCCUCUUCUGUAGAUUGAUGUACUGUCACGAGUCAAUCACAAGAACUUUGUCAAUCUCAUUGGCUACUGUGAGGAGGAUGAACCUUUUACUAGGAUGAUGGUGUUCGAGUAUGCUCCAAAUGGAAACCUCUAUGAACAUCUCCAUGGUAAUGCUCCUACUGUUAUCUAUUACUAGGAGGAGGUUUCUGAAGCCAACUAUUUUAUAUGGAGGGUAUAAGUGUAACGUUUAUUUUGUUUGUUUCUUUCAGUUGAAGAAAUGGAACACCUUGACUGGACUGCAAGGGUUAGGAUCAUAAUGGGGACAGCUUACUGUCUUCAGUAUAUGCACCAUGAUCUAAAUCCACCUGUAUCACAUCCCAACUUAGUUUCAUCUUCUAUCUUUUUAACGGAUGAUUAUGCUGCCAAGGUACACAUUUCCUUUCUCUCAUCCACCUUGCCUUAGUUCCAUUGGAUAUCAUGCACUUCACUUGAUCUGACUCUUUAUCAUACACGCACACAAACACAGAUUGCAGAGUUAUGUUUCUGGGCAACGUUGCCGAAGUCAAAGAAGGAUUCUGAUGAGGACGAUAAAGAGUAUUCCGAAUUACCACCCCUUGCUGAUCCAGAAACAAAUGUCUACAGCUUUGGACUAUUGUUAAUCGAGACCAUCAGUGGAAAGCGCCAUAACUCAGAAGUAGGGUGCCUUGUGGACUGGGUAAGUCUCAUAAUAUUUGCCUUCAAGACAAUGCACCCUUCUCCAUAAACUAAUGAGUAUUUACUUGUGUGAACUUUCCAGGCCUAUGCUUAUCUCAAUGAACAAAGAAGCAGCCUGGUUGAUCCAACUCUCAAAUCCUUCAAAAACGACGAGUUGGAUGUCAUCUGUGAGGUGAUCAAAGAGUGCACUCAAAAAGAUUCAAGAAAAAGACCAACAAUGAAUGAUGUCACCGAGAAACUGAGGCAAGUGAUUCCCAUCACUCCAAACCAAGCAGUCCCAAGACUCUCACCACUCUGGUGGGCUGAGCUUGAGAUCUUAUCAGUGGAAGCAACAUAACCUCAGCCUCCCUCUGAUUCUCUUCUCCGUGUUGUAAGCCAACAAAGUCUCUUUGUAUCAGUAAAAAUGCUGUAACAAUAUAUAGCUUUUAACAACUCUGUGCUCCCCCUGCAUAAAAAUUGGUCAUCAAUCCCACCCCACAUAAACCUUCAUGCUUGUAAUCAUAUCCCUUUUUGUCCUCCUUUUGUAUGUGUCCUUAUGAUUCAACCUAGGCUAUAUAUUCUUUGUGUUCAAUCAAAAAUCCAAUUGUUUUACUGGUGGAGUGCUGUUGUCCUAACUUAAAUUUAUACAACAUAUGUAUGUAUUUUUGUGUGAUCAAAAGCUUGGAUGUAAACUAAUAUGGCGCUGGGAAAUUAUUAUUACAUUUUAAUCAUUCUUUGUUUAUUUGUGAACCUUUCUUCGGUAGAUAUGUACUAGUUCAAGCUCAAGCUACUGUUGGUCUGCAUUAUACAUAGCCAAAACACCCAAAAGAAAUCAUACAAUAAGCACUGAAUUAAAUUUGAAUAAGUUUGAGCCUAUGUGGGUCAUGUAUUGUCUUGUUCAAAAUUGUGAAAAACACAUACCAAGGUAGACAACCACCCACACUACAAAACUAGCUAGCUAGUCCUUCAAAUAUUUAGUUUAGGUCAAUCAGAACGUUGCUCCUUUUCCUUCCCCAUUGACUUAGCCUAAUCUGAACCAUGCCAGUAGCAGCCAAAAACUCCACACACUGCAAUGGACUCAGCAAAUCCAACAAACCCUUCAAUGCCUUGAGCCUCACACAAUCUGCAGCCUUCAUGACUCUCUCCAACCCAUUCAGUAUCACCUUCAUUGCCAUAUCCACCAUCCCUUCGACCUCAACCACCGCCCCGCCGCCGUUCCUGACCCGGGUGGCCAGCCUCGCCAGCUCCACCAUCUUCCGGUCCGCCAUGGCCACCUGCUGCCUCUCCAUCUCCCUCUCCACCCUCUCCUCCUCGUACCGUAUCUUCAGCCUCAGUUCCUCGAUCUUCCUCAGCUGCUGCUCGGACAAGUUCUGCAGCCGAGCCUUUCGCAUUAGCUUGAACAACAUUGAGGGCUUCCAACCUGUCAGCCAUGAAUAGGCAUUCUCCAAAGGGCUGGACCAGACAGGGCAGAAGAAGGCUAGCACGUCUUGAUGAGCAGCAGCCCAUUUUGCAGUGUAGUAUUCUUUGUGCAAGUUUGUGACCCUCGACACCAAAGCUUGGAGCUCUGCCUCAUUAUGAGGCUGCAGUGUCGACUUCUCCUGGGACAACUUGAGCAGCUGGUGUUGGAGUUGCUCAAGCUGACAAACCCACGUCUCGAAAAACUCAGUGAACCUCUCCUCAACUUGGGUUGUCAUUAGUAGAAUCUGAAGACAAUACAAGGGUUUGGUUUGGUGAAGAAAGAGUUCAGGGCCGGGAGGUUUAUAUAGGGAGAGGGGAGUGAGUUGGGGUGACCAGAUGUAGAGAUUUGGAGGGGCCACGGAUCAAAGGUGGUGGGUGCAUGGAUUACAAGUUGUAAGCGGUAUUUGACGCUUUGCAAGAGCUCUAAGGAUCAGAGAGACAAGAGUCUAAGCGCUUUCUUUGAUUUGGUCCUUUGAAAAUUUGAAUGAAUCAAAGUGGUGUGGGUGUAGCCUUUGGCUGAGGUGAAGGGGCAUGCAGGGCAACCAAGUGGUGAGUGAGGCUAUGUAUGGUGGAACGUGGCAGUGUGGGAAUGAAUCUGGGUUCGACGUGGAGCAUGGUGAAGGCUGAGUUUCAAUAAGGUUGACAGGGAUCUGUUGUCAUGCUUUUGGGGGUACGGCUGCGUUUCAUGCUCUCUCUAUAUAUGAAUCUAUAUAUUAUAAAUCUUCAUUGACAAUCAUACCGACAUAGCACAACUUGCACUAGUGUGUGUAUUCUCAGAGCUUGUACAUAACAGAUUUUGGGAAAGAAGAACCUGUUCCGAUUCAAUUCAUCUACAGAUUUUAGGGGACAUGCACUAACCUAUUUAACCUUUGCUGUGUAAAACCAAAACAUUUAGAAAUUUUGCGGCGGAUUUCUCUGUACGUAUGACCGUAUUGUCUUCUGAUAAUUUGCCAUAUAUGGCCAGACCAAAACAUCUAGAUACACCUCCUAAGUCACUAAAUUCUGACCAAUUGUUUAGUAUAAUUUCCCAUAUUCUGUAUUUUUGAUCUCUCUCAUAUUCUGUAUUGAAAUCUAGAACUUGGAUAAUGUGUUGCCUAAAUCAUAGAAUUUAAUUGUCGUCAUAGAAUCUUAAUAGUUGUCGUUUAGUUAUUUAGUAAUUAACGUAACAUUCAUUGAUCGAAUAGAUUAAUAAACGACAGCGUCACGUUAAAAAGAACGUUUGUAAUCACAUAUAAUGUGAUAAAAAUUUAAUAACAAUCGACUGCCAACACAAUAUGAUUUGAAUUCUAUAUAUAAUUGUUUAGCCGCCCAAAAAAAUGGUUCUCCAGCUUCAUACAUGGGCAAUGCAAGCGGAAUGGUGCCGUGGUCGCUGCAACCUUCAGCUUCGAGUUAGGUUGGGUCAUAUGGUUGGGUUUGAGCUUCAGGUCUAGGCCCAAGUUCUAUGUACUUUAUGCUUUUUUAUUUUGUAUUGUAUUUGCUAUAUUGCAUUUUAGUUUUAGUACUAAGCGGUUUUACGCCGCCAAUAAUACCUUAUUUAUUUAUGGUAUGGCACAAAGGGUCUUAUGUCUAUUUAUGCACCUUGUGUGCUUAUAUGCUCUAAGUAGGCAGUGCAUCUUAGUCUCUUAAUGCCAUGAUGAAACUGAGUGUCACCGGAUUUAUUUUAUAGCGGCAACUUAGCAAGAAAGCUCCAUUAUGGACAUUAGAAUAUGUAAUCAUGUUACAUAUCUAGUGAUAUUUCUAUUAUGUCACCGUUGAGAUAAAACAAAUAGAGUUGCAAUUAGAGCAAUACUUUUUGCUAGUUGGUUUGUUAGAAUACUUACAUGUACUUAAUUUGUAGAAAUUCUCGAUAUUAUUUCGAGACUUCUAGAUGCUUAUUGUAAUCAGGGGUUCAGGCUCCACGGGGUAUUCGACAAUUUCAUUAAUGAAGGCUCAAAGGCAACCGCACCAGCCCUUUAUUCAAAAUAUAAAAAAAUAAAUAAAAAAAAAGGGCUCUCACCACUUGGUCAGAGCCUUUGCAAACCUUAGCCGCCAUGGUUUAGGGUUCCAUCUUUUGGUGCCCGGCACCACUGCUAAGCAAAGUUUUACUCUUUACCUCUCAUUAUCUCCUUGAGGCAAAGGUCAAUCAGCUUUGACGAACUUUUAACUGAGAUCUCCCUUGCGAGGGCUCUUCACAUCUUGGUCAGAGCCCUCGCAAACCCUAACGGCCAUGACUUGGGGUUCCAUCUUUUGGUGCUUGACACAACCGCCAAGUAAAGUUUUGCUCUAUGCUUCUACUUAUCUCCUUGAGGCAAGCAAAGAUCAAUCAGCUUUGAGGAACUUUCAACUCAGAUCCUACUUGGAAGUGGCUGACCCAAGAAUUUAAAUAACCAAAGGCAUAUAAUUUUUUUCUUUUCACCAUCAAUUUGAAAAUUAAAGAAAUUCAACCAUGUAAAUUAAAGGGAGCAAGUGAUAAUGGAUAUAGAUAUAUUUGUUUUUUUUUUGUCUAAAUGAAGAGCCGGUGUGGCUGCCCUCAAGCUAGUCUUAAUUAUGGAACUGUCUAAUACAAAGGGGGAGGGCAUUUAGCCUAAACCUUUGAUUAUAAAAGUCCUGAAGUAAUAUUGGAAGUCUUUACAAAAAACAUGUAUUCAACCAAGCACCAACUAGUAAAAAGCGUCGUUCUAUUGGCUAUUUUAUUUGCUUUGAUAUAGCGGUGGCAUAGCGGAAAGAUAACUAGACUACUGUGAAGCAUGAUUGUAACCAGUAAAGAGUAGUGCUACUCUAUUGGCUACUCUUAUAUAUUUACAUGUUUUCACUACCUAACAAGUUUUAAUUUGUACUUUAAUAAGCCAAAUAAAACACAUCUAAAUUUGAUGAAUGACUGAUAUAUGUUGGGCCCAAAUGUAGUAAAACAAUAAAACUUAAUCACUUUGCUAUAUAUAUUAUUAUGGAAGUGAAAUUCAUACUCUUCAAAUUAAAAUCUACACUCUCAUGUUACAACAAGAAAAGAAUAAAGAAAUUAUCUAACACUUGAUUUCGAUACUGAUUGUGAAAUUGCAUUGCUGUGUCAGAAGAAGUCCAAAUUUCUUCUCUUUUUGUCUAACUCACUUCCUUUUUUCUUUAUGAGUUUCGGGAAUAUCCCCAUUCAUAGGUCCGAGAUCCACAUAUAUGAAUUGAAAGGUCCGAAUGAUCAACUCUGCAAUCAGUUGUUAGAAUCAAUAGGUCUUCAAAUCGUUCAUUUGAAAAAAUUGAAACCCUUCUUAUUAGAUGAUCAUGAUACUUCCCAAAAAUCAAAAUUCUUGAUCAACGGAGGAACAAUAUCACCGUUUUUAUUCAAUAAGAUUAAUGUUUUUAAUCAUCAUUCUUAUAAGAAUAUAAAAUUUAAGUUACUAAAAAUAAAAAUAGAAAUAGAUUAUAACUUAGAGAAUAGAUAGUGUGGAUUUCAACUAAGUAUAUAUCUGUAAGUAUGAAGAGAUUUCACUGGUCCAUAAGCCCCCGCCGGAGCCCCUUGGACGAAGCAGUAUCGGGUUGUUUCCCUUCCACCGUAUCGCAUCUUGUCCGAAGAAAGGUGUGUGGUCGCCGCAGAGCUUUUCAACACACAUGUGGAUCAGUAUCGACCACCAAGAGCAUGCCUCAAGGGCCAAGGCCAUUGAAGACCGGCUACUAGCUAGCAUGGAACUUGUUGGGUUGGGUUGGAUUUUGUGCGUGGCAGUGCCAUAUUUCGAAUGAGCAAGGAGAAGCAGCCCACACUUGAAUAUGUGUUCGAUUCUAAAAUCCGAUGGUCAAGAAUCCUACACCUCGAUGAAGAAGUCGUUCUGUCUUGGUGGCUAUAAAGAUCACAACGGUCUAAUAUGAUGGCGGAGGCUCAGCCUGGGUGCCCGGCCAAGUUAGAUUGGUGGCGUAAGCGGGUUGGACUACUCUGGAGUCUGGGCUUUAGUCAAACUAGGGUUAGGAGAUUUACAAAUGAUUCAAGCCUCCAGAAUCUCAAAUGAUUCAAAUUCUAUAUAUCAAAUACGAAAAUUUUGGGUAAACAUUUUCACUGUAAAAACGAAUUAGAGUUGAUUAAAAUUUUCCGAUUCAAGAUUAAACCACCAUAUUUAUUGCAUGGCGUCACCGAGGACAUCCCAAACAUUUGUCUUGCCUACAGAAAGAAAUAAAAAU
rnacentral:lncRNA from 1 species